rnacentral:rRNA from 1 species
GACGAACGCUGGCGGCGUGCCUAAUACAUGCAAGUCGAGCGGAUCGAUGGAAGCUUGCUUCCUGAGAUCAGCGGCGGACGGGUGAGUAACACGUGGGCAACCUGCCCCUAAGAUCGGGAUAACUUCGGGAAACCGGAGCUAAUACCGGAUAGGACUUUUCUUCACAUGAAGGGAAGUGGAAAGACGGUUUCGGCUGUCACUUAGGGAUGGGCCCGCGGCGCAUUAGCUAGUUGGUGAGGUAACGGCUCACCAAGGCCACGAUGCGUAGCCGACCUGAGAGGGUGAUCGGCCACACUGGGACUGAGACACGGCCCAGACUCCUACGGGAGGCAGCAGUAGGGAAUCUUCCGCAAUGGACGAAAGUCUGACGGAGCAACGCCGCGUGAGUGAAGAAGGUUUUCGGAUCGUAAAACUCUGUUGUCAGGGAAGAACAAGUACCAUAGUAACUGAUGGUACCUUGACGGUACUUAGGAGACGAAGCAUCGGCUAACUCCGUGCCAGCCGCCGCUGUAAUAC